AGAGAUCAUGGCUCAGAUUGAACGCUGGCGGCAUGCCUUACACAUGCAAGUCGAACGGCAGCGCGGGGCAACCUGGCGGCGAGUGGCGAACGGGUGAGUAAUAUAUCGGAACGUACCCUGGAGUGGGGGAUAACGUAGCGAAAGUUACGCUAAUACCGCAUACGAUCUAAGGAUGAAAGUGGGGGAUCGCAAGACCUCAUGCUCCUGGAGCGGCCGAUAUCUGAUUAGCUAGUUGGUGGGGUAAAGGCCUACCAAGGCAUCGAUCAGUAGCUGGUCUGAGAGGACGACCAGCCACACUGGAACUGAGACACGGUCCAGACUCCUACGGGAGGCAGCAGUGGGGAAUUUUGGACAAUGGGCGAAAGCCUGAUCCAGCAAUGCCGCGUGAGUGAAGAAGGCCUUCGGGUUGUAAAGCUCUUUUGUCAGGGAAGAAACGGUGAAGGCUAAUAUCCUUUGCUGAUGACGGUACCUGAAGAAUAAGCACCGGCUAACUACGUGCCAGCAGCCGCGGUAAUACGUAGGGUGCAAGCGUUAAUCGGAAUUACUGGGCGUAAAGCGUGCGCAGGCGGUUUUGUAAGUCUGUCGUGAAAUCCCCGGGCUCAACCUGGGAAUUGCGAUGGAGACUGCAAGGCUAGAAUCUGGCAGAGGGGGGUAGAAUUCCACGUGUAGCAGUGAAAUGCGUAGAGAUGUGGAGGAACGCCGAUGGCGAAAGCAGCCCCCUGGGUCAAGAUUGACGCUCAUGCACGAAAGCGUGGGGAGCAAACAGGAUUAGAUACCCUGGUAGUCCACGCCCUAAACGAUGUCUACUAGUUUGUCGGGUUUAAUUNAACUUGGUAAU
rnacentral:rRNA from 1 species